ACUGGUGGAGCGCUUAGAAGUGAGAAUGCCGGUAUGAGUAGCGAAAGAAGGGUGAGAAUCCCUUCCACCGAAUAUCUAAGGUUUCCUGAGGAAGGCUCGUCCGCUCAGGGUUAGUCGGGACCUAAGCUGAGGCCGAUAGGCGUAGGCGAUGGACAACAGGUAGAGAUUCCUGUACCAGUGCUAAUUGUUUAACCGAUGGGGUGACACAGAAGGAUAGGGAAUCGCACGAAUGGAAAUGUGCGUCCAAGCAGUGAG
rnacentral:rRNA from 1 species